CAUGUGGAGUUCAGAGGACAACUUGUGGGUUCUGGGACUCAUCAGGAGGCUCGUUGGCAGGCCCUGUUAUCCUGGGGUCCAUCUCUCCAGCCCUUUCCAGUGGGGUCUUGUUAGCCAAGGGUGACCUUGAUAUCUACUCUGAAGUGCUGCGGUAGAGCAGGCUCAAAUGAUUCCUGUGAUUACAUUAAACCCAGAGAGCCAUGUGUCUCCCAUUCCCAGCCCACUAGGAAUAAACUUCCUUGCCUUGAAAUAUGGACUGACUGAGAAUGUCACAGCACCUUGGAUUUAUGGCCCUGCACAGCAUGCAGACAUAAUUUCUACUUGGCUGCUGUGUUGACGAGAUUCAGUAAGGCAUUAGACAAGUUCUGGGAGGGUGAGAUGCGGAGCUGGCUUAUGAACAGACUUGAAAUCAAUUUCACUUUCAGUGUGAAGCUAAUAUCAAGGGCCCGAACUUCUCAACUGUCUCAGCAGGCAGAGAGCAAAGCGCUCGCUCUCUUUAAGCCAAGUUACCUACAGCUAACUUUCUGUUUUCCAAGGACAAAAAAACCCCUCUGCACUCAUGAAUUUGUAGUAGUUGUUGUCCAUUUGCUUAUUUGUCUGUUUACUCCGAGCAGGGCCUUGCUGUCUAUCCAGACUGGCCUCAGAUCCUGGUCCUCCCGUCUCAGUUUCUGACUACUUAGGUUACAGGUGCGCACGAUGGUGUCUGGUUGUGCGCUGAUCCCCUCUUGUUCCCUCUAGUGUAGUAUUUAUUGUUUAUGUUGCUUUCUCUUGAGCUAAAUCUCAGGAGAGUGGAGCCUGGAUAUCUUCCCAUGAAUGUCCCACCAAGCAACAAUCAACUUUUCCCUCAGGGGAGCUGCUCGCUCACUAUGUCUGAACUCCUGAUGCACAGCUUAGAAGGAAUGGUGGUGGUAUCACAGGGAGAGUGUAAUUAUUUGGCCACAAAUAAGGCUGCACUUCUGGGUUCUAGAGCCAUGCACGUGCAGACAAGCUCUCAGGCAGAAGUGCCUGAAUGUUAAAGGGCCCCGCGUGACCCACAUGAGUGGUUACAUCCACAUAUGAUUCAGCUAAGCCCUGGUGUGCAUGCGUGAGCCCAUCAUCUGUGUAUGAGAUAGCCGCAUCAACCCCCUGUGAGCAUGCGCUAGGCAGGUUUUAAAAGCUGGACCUUCAUCUUCCUCCCUCUCUCUGCACACUGACUUCCCAGGCCUGUGCAAGCCCCCUCUAAUAAACUAAGCAGGUUUGUUGCAUGUUUUGUGGUUCCUUCUCACUCACACCAGGUAAUUUCAGAAAGACACCAGCCGCUACCUCUGGGAGCUGCUAGGCUGUUUAGAAGGAGGCCCAAAGGAGGAGGGGAGAGGUUGGAGACUUGCUGGAUGGAUAGCUUUUAAACAUAUGCUUUAAAAGCUAGCAUAUAGAGUAUUUUUAAACUUAUAUGUGUUAUAAGUUUAUGUUAUCCCUCUCCCAUAGUGUUCCCCAAAUAGAAACUGUAUAUUCCUCUCCCCCUUUCUGGGGAUUGAACCUUGGGCCUCAAGAGCAUGGGAGGCUAGCCCUUAAAAAGAUAUCCUUCACCUUCUUAAACAUGCCCUUAGGCAGAAAUUAACACCUCCGCCUAAAUGAGGACACUGCAGCUUAAAAGGUUCAAUUAUUCAUUCAGUUCACAAGGCAGGUGGUGGCAGAAGGAGGAUUCCACCCCCUUUCCCUUCCCCAGUGCCUGCUGCAGGGGUUUUCCUCUGGGCAUUGUCAGAGAAGAGAUCUUUCUGUUCCAUUUCUUUGCUUCCAGCUUUUGGUGCAGCUGAAUUUCAUGGACAGAGAGGUACUCUGACCAGAGGAUCUGAGUCUGGGUUCCCAACACCUACAUAAGA